GCUCUACAACCCUUUGUGAACAUACCUAUAACUGUUGCUUCGGCGGGUAGGGUCUCCGUGACCCUCCCGGCCUCCCGCCCCCGGGCGGGUCGGCGCCCGCCGGAGGAUAACCAAACUCUGAUUUAACGACGUUUCUUCUGAGUGGUACAAGCAAAUAAUCAAAACUUUUAACAACGGAUCUCUUGGUUCUGGCAUCGAUGAAGAACGCAGCGAAAUGCGAUAAGUAAUGUGAAUUGCAGAAUUCAGUGAAUCAUCGAAUCUUUGAACGCACAUUGCGCCCGCCAGCAUUCUGGCGGGCAUGCCUGUUCGAGCGUCAUUUCAACCCUCAAGCUCUGCUUGGUGUUGGGGCCCUACAGCUGAUGUAGGCCCUCAAAGGUAGUGGCGGACCCUCCCGGAGCCUCCUUUGCGUAGUAACUUUACGUCUCGCACUGGGAUCCGGAGGGACUCUUGCCGUAAAACCCCCAAUUUUCCAAAGGUUGACCUCGGAUCAGGUAGGAAUACCCGCUGAACUUAAGCAUAUCAAUAAGCGGAGGAAAAGAAACCAACAGGGAUUGCCUCAGUAACGGCGAGUGAAGCGGCAACAGCUCAAAUUUGAAAUCUGGCCCUAGGCCCGAGUUGUAAUUUGCAGAGGAUGCUUUUGGUGCGGUGCCUUCCAAGUUCCCUAGAACGGGACGCCAGAGAGGGUGAGAGCCCCGUACAGUUGGACACCAAGCCUUUGUAAAGCUCCUUCGACGAGUCGAGUAGUUUGGGAAUGCUGCUCAAAAUGGGAGGUAUAUUUCUUCUAAAGCUAAAUACCGGCCAGAGACCGAUAGCGCACAAGUAGAGUGAUCGAAAGAUGAAAAGCACUUUGAAAAGAGGGUUAAACAGCACGUGAAAUUGUUAAAAGGGAAGCGCUUGUGACCAGACUUGCGUCCGGUGAAUCACCCAGCUCUCGCGGCUGGGGCACUUCGCCGGCUCAGGCCAGCAUCAGCUCGCUGUCGGGGACAAAAGCUUCAGGAACGUAGCUCUCUUCGGGGAGUGUUAUAGCCUGUUGCAUAAUACCCUUCGGCGGGCUGA
rnacentral:rRNA from 1 species